CCAUUCUCCACGAGACUUUGCUAGAAAAAGAUGGAUGCACAACAACAACAACAAAAACUCAGUAAAUCCCAUAAAUAGGGUCUGAAGAGGGUAGUGUGUACGCAGAACUUACGGCUACCUUAUACAGGUAGAGAGCUUGUUUUCCAUAGACAUUAGGCUCAAGGAAAAGAUGGAUGCACUAGCUCUUUGUUAAAAACAUACACGCGAU
rnacentral:lncRNA from 1 species